AGUUCAGAGGGGAAGCUGCUUCCGGUUGCAACGAGCAGCCUUCUGGGAAAUGUAGUUCGAGUCCGGGCUGGCGCAGACGCAGUGCUGGGCAUUCUAGGAGGCUGGGUGGGGCCAGCUUCACGUAGUAAAACCCCUCCCCUCGUUCUCCGGCGCACAGAUUCCAGCUGGCCGCGAUGGUGGAGCCGCCGGAAGGAAGUGAAGGGAGGACCACGUGAUCCCAGUCACCAAGCACCUGGGGCCCCUCCGCUGAUGACAGUGGGGCGGGGCCAGACACUCCCACAGGAAGGGGCAGUCACCCUUCUUCCCUUGGCCUUUAUUGAGACAGAGUAGUUUUUGAACGUGGCCUUGUGAGCCGGAAGUCUGUCAGUUUCUGCAUGAACAGUUGCCCCCUGCCUUGCAGAUCUCAGCUGGAGAGCGUCGGCGCCACGCCCCCGGGCCCGGGGUCUCCACUGCGAGAGGGCAGACCCUUCAGCUCCUUCUUGAGGUCUCCGCUGCGAGAGGGCAGACCCCUUAGCUCCCCCGAGACUGGGGUACCAGCUACGGGCAGACCCCUCCGCUCCCCCAGCCCGGGGUCUCCGCUGCGAGAGGGCAGGCCCCUCGGCGCCCCUGGCCUGGCCGUGCUGGGUGGCCUUGCCCCUGCUCCCUCCCACGUCUUUCUCAGUCCAGCCUCUCUGGAGUCAGUGUUAACAGGAGCCAGAGGCUGGCAGUCCAAACCUGAUUUCUGCCAAACGGCUUUCCAGUUUUCUCUGCUGUGUCUGGCACAAAGGGACCCUCCCCAGCCGUUUGUGUUCCUGAGCUUGUCCAGUCCGGGGCCCUGCACUUGCCUGUCCUAGUCCUUUCCGUCCAGUCUGUUCCCCUUCAUCUUUUAUCACCUGAGGCAGAGACAGACAAGCAAAACCUCGUGAACCACAUACAGUGUGUGUGACACCAACCAGCGACUCCAGCAAUGUCCACGGAAAGAAGGAGGCACGCAGGCCUCGGAGGGACUGCCCCUGAGAUCAGGGGCCUCCCAGGUAGAAGGUCAUCUCCACCAGCCAGUGUGCCGGGACUGGACUCCCUGCCUCAGUUGUUUUCCUUUGUCACAAGAGAGGAUCCAGCCUGGAGGGAGAGAGGGUUGGUCUCCCCGCUGGUGUAGACAAAAUGAGCCAAUAAAACCUGGAAAGGAGGGAAGAGGAGAAGGCCUCAGCUGGGGCACAGACAUGGGUCUGGGUCAGAUAACUUAGAGCUGAUGGAAUUCCCCUCGUGUUAAUGGUUGUGGGAGAGGGUUGAACCAGCCUUUGGCUUUGGCCCAUCACACAGAUCUCAGGGGAGAGGAGCCUUGGAAAGAUCCCGCUGGGGAGGCUUUGGCUCCAAGCUCUUUCUGACACUGCAAAGUCCCCACUUUGGCCUUGUCUCAUUUCUGGGGCGUUGGUGGAAAACACAGCCUCUGGAUCUGGGGAGAGCCUGGGAGCCGGCCUGACUCUAGGAGGAAGGAGGCUGUCAGCGCAGUGGAAGCCUUUGUGGACAUUUUCUCCUUGAAGCAUAUUUAGAACCCCUGGGAAAACAGGAUUGUGUAGUUUGAACCUUACCUUGUGUGGCUUAGAGCCUGGAUCUGUUUGCUGCUUUGACACCAGAUCUGUGGCUCAGUAAGGACAUGAAGGUCCCCCUGACCCCAGACACCUUCAGGGGAGGGAGCAGUCUAGAGGGGGAGGCCAGGAAUUUUCUGAGAUCUACCUUUCAGCACCCUGUAAGUGCUAUAUUUGGAAACUGCCUCCCAGCUGGCCCCUCUGCUGGUUUCCUUAUUCCUGUCUGAACUCUAUGGAAUGUAAAGCUUACUAAAAGCUCUGGGAGCAGCCCUUAUUUCAGCUCUUACCUCAGCCAGAGGAUGCAACAAGCUUCUUUCUAAAAGCUGUUACCUCAGAAACAGAUGUGUGCGACAAAGACCUUUACCUAAAUAAAAAUUCAGAGGUUUCUCUAGGUAGAAACACAAGUUUUAUUUAGCAAGUCUCCCACGAGAAUUGGGCAUCACCUACCCAGGGUAGACUGGCAUAGGGAGGCAGCCUACAGACAGCAGAUAAGGAGUUAUAUACCCUUAGACAAACAAUUCUAAGGAACCACCCCCCUUUUUACCUGCCCAAAGACAAGGUCCCAAGUCCCUUACUUGCUGAACUAUUUUUUGCUUUGCUGGGACAUGAGAUCCCUCUGCCUUCCCUGGAACUGAGAUCUCUCCACCUUCUACCUUUGGAAUUGGGAUCUCCUUGCCUUCCUCCCUCACAGCUGAGAUCACUGCUGCCUUCUCUUGGACCUGAGAUCUCUGCCUUCCACACACCAGCUCUGUGGGUGCAGGUCCCUCCUAGGUCUGAGCCUCACAGAUCUGCUGCCUGUUCAGGCCAUGGGAUCUCAUCCUUCUCCUCUGACCACUUGGUCGACAGUAAUGGUACCGUGAGGUCAGAUGGAACUGAAGUAAUGGGAGAAAACACCAGCCCACUCCUACAAUGCUUAGUGACUCAGGCGCCCCAGGAUCCGUUUUUUCCUGGUAUCCUAACCUUGACGGGGUUGGGUAAGUUUCCCCUAUUCCCAGCUUCCAUGGACCUCCCACUAGUUUGGUUGAAGUCUGAAAGAAAAUUCCCUUUACGCUAGAUCUGGGGUCGAGGACUCCGGCUAACAAGACUGCUGCCUCUUAUAUGCCAAGCCAUUGCCAAUGUAGUGAUCACAAGUACUGCUAUCGCUGAUGUCAGUUAACUAAAGAAAGCUCCACAUUAUGUUGUCUGUAAUGGGGUUCUUUUGACCACUCAAAGUUACUUUAUCUUAAAACCAAAUUAAGUUUAAAGGCCAACAAAACGUCUAGCCAGAAGUGGGAAUGUUUUUAUCAUUGGGUUGCUGAGAUGGCUGCGGGAGAAGGAAAAGCAGAAGCCUCUUCCCUUAAGGCUAGCAAAGCCGCUUCAGCACUCUUCCGGGCUCAGAAUAAUCUCUUCCCCCCCUCCCCUUUUCCCUUAAAGGCUAUGGUCCUAGGGACUUGCCCCUUUAAAUCUGCAGCCUCAGGGGCACGCAGAAGAAGGCUCAAAAGAUCCAGUUACACUACCUGGUCUUAGAUCCUUGCAAAUUCCCCAAACUGCCUUCCUCAGAAUAAUAAUAAAUAGCCAAUUUUGUGAUGGGGGGUGGUUUUCUAACAAGCCUCUAACUCCCUCUCUCUGUCUUUAAGUUUGCACUAUGUCACUGUAUUUGUAUUGUAUUUGUCCUGUCAAUUUGUCUCUCGGUGUGUGUCUCUGUAUCUGUACCUUGUAAGAUUUCAAAUGCAGGCAGCCAGAGACUUAUCUAAGGGCUGCAACUAGGAAAAUGACAAAUUUGUAAAAUUCCUUUCCUUGUGGGUCCAGGCCUGGCCAGCCUAGACCCAGAGUGAAAAAUUAGCUACAGCUAAAGACAUCUUAGCAGAUUCUGGAGAUUUCGAGCUUAUUCAUUAAAAAGUUGGGAAGUUGAUCAUUUUGGGAUUGUUGGAGAAAACUUCUGAGACUAGGGGUAAUUCCAGGAGCUUGCCCUCUACUAAAACACCUCCUCCCCAUCCUGAUUCCUCAGCAUUCCCCACUCUUUCAUCAGAGAUAAGUAUCUCUGAUGUAUGGGGAUUGUAAAAGAGAAGAGAAUGCUGGAGAAUUAUAGGGAAAAUUUAGAUCAGCCUUCCCUAUCUAGUAAAAGGGGAAGGGUAGCUAUCACAGACUAGCAGUGGCCAUAACGGGCCCUGUGCCCCUUGGUACCUUGCAGCCCACCCCUCUAAAGCAAAGCCUGGGAGUAACAUCCAUGUUCAAUUCAUUCUGCCCCACCCUGCCCCAGCAGCUACAAACGGCACCAGCCUCAGUAAAUUCUGCAACUUGUGGGAAGGGGAGAGGUAGACAGGUCAGACCUAUGAUGAGAUUCCCUAAGCCCUGCCACCAAGAAUUAUCACCACUGGCAACGCCCUGGCAUCAGCCAACCCAGCCCCUGGAAGGCCUGGCAGUAGCAUUAUGAGGUGAGAAGCCAACUUCUACUCUUGGUAAGCCCCAUACUUCUCUGUUUCAGUUUUGGAAUUCAUGGCAAGUUAUUUUAUCUUUACUUGUCCUGUUUACUGAUUUGUAAAGGGAAAAAUAAUAAUGUUUGUUGUUACAGGAUCAAAAUGAUGUAAUGAUUGUAAAGUACUUAAAACAAUGACUGGCAUAUGUUAGGCAACAUUAUUAUUCUCUCUCUCUAAUUUAAUGUAAUUGUUCCAUACCUGAUAACUUUGAAGUGUUUUUUAAAUACCAAAAGUCAUAAGAUCAAUAAUCUGUAUAUGUGGUAUGUCUGGAAAUGCAACUAAUGUCAUCUGAAGUUUGUUGUUUGUGUUAUUACUAUGUUUCUAAAUUGUAUUGUAUUUCUAAGACUCUUAGAUUGUAAAAUUUGAGAGACCAUUGUGAAAUAGAAAUGGUGCAUAUGGAUUGGUCUUUUAAAAGAAUGUGAUAAAAAUGAGAAUUUGAAAACUGUUAAUAUUUAAUGAGGUAUAUUUGGUUAUGAGGAGGUAAUUAAUUGGUUCUGUGUGGUAUACCCCCUCCUCAAAAUAAAGAUUUCUCAGAGCCUAUUAAUCCAGCAAGGAGAUGAUUUAUUAACUUCCUCGAGGAAGGAAGGCAUCAAAGUUCCUCGAUGCAGCAAGGCAGGCAAGCAAAAAGGGAGAGCACUGGCUUUUCCCCUCAUACAGUUUUUAAAGCAAAAAACCACAGUUUCACAAACCCCACCUAUCCCUGACCACAGGGCUUACAAUCUUAUUGCUCUUAGCAAUCUAUUUUAUUGGGGGCUAGUUCCAGGAAGGCACACGUGUGUUUCACGCGGAGCAGGAUGUGCCUACGACAGUGGGAUUUUGUUUUUGAGGUUUUAUCAGCAUCUCCCAGUAGACUUUUUGACAAAAUCAAACUUAACCCUGAGGGGCCUGCACUAUUAUGAGCCUCCCACACAGUUCUGUUUCAAGUUUUAAAUACAUAAUAAUUGCUUAUGGUAUGGUUAUAUUUCUGAAUUUUUUAUAUGGUGUAAUCUGGUAAACAAAUUAUAUCAGCUAUGUUGCUGAAAAAGCAAUUUCUCUUAUAAUCUAGAGAUGUUAGACCAAAAAAAAAAAUCAGGGAGAAUAAAUGAGUUAGAAUAAACUUCCAAGUUUUGUCUGUAUGUAAGAGGAAGUUUCACCUAAAAUUCUUAUCAAGUCUGUGUAAAAGUUUCCUGUGUUGUAGAAUUCCUGAGUAAAUGAGAAUCCUGAGGAUAUGUUAACUGGAGAUUUAUGGACUACCACAUUCACUAUCUAUGUGAGAUUCCAGAAUAUAAUAGUUUUUUUCCUAAUUUGCAGUGAUAUAUUUAAAGACAAAGGAAAGAAAGGCUUGAUAAUAUUUGUUAUUGUGAUAAGGCUAAUUUAACUGGGAAUGUGUGGGACAGUUGACCACUGAAAUCAAGAGUUCAGAGUCUGAAUCAGAGAUCAGAAAGGGUCUUUAUUCUUUCUCACGAGAAAAGGCACAGCCCUUGUGGCUGCUCAAGUAGGGGCAGCCAGGGAGUGGGGCAGCUAGCUGUAAGAAGCAAAGUUUUAUAGCCCUAACGCAUGCCCCCUCCCACUCUCUUACCUCUUUCCCCCACUGGCUGGGUACUCAAGGCGUACAAUCUAAAUGUGGCAACUGGUACCCAGUAGAAGCAAACAUACCCAUAUUUGGGAACUAGAUGUAUGCAUGCUUCAGGAAGUGGGAGUGACCAGGAAUGGCCUGUGCUGACAUGGAUUUUUGAGAAAGGUGAAACUCAACUCAGGGCUUAGGCCUGAGGAAACUGUACUUUAGGCCAUCUCUCACAGGAAUGUUCUUCAUGCAUUAUAAAAACUGAAUUUCUUCUCCAUU